rnacentral:hammerhead_ribozyme from 1 species
AUCCAUCUGAAAAGUCCAAAAUAGGACGAAACGUGAGUCAAACUGGAU